UGGGGAAUAUUGGACAAUGGGCGCAAGCCUGAUCCAGCCAUGCCGCGUGUGUGAAGAAGGCCUUUUGGUUGUAAAGCACUUUAAGCGAGGAGGAGGCUACUUGGAUUAAUACUCUAGGAUAGUGGACGUUACUCGCAGAAUAAGCACCGGCUAACUCUGUGCCAGCAGCCGCGGUAAUACAGAGGGUGCGAGCGUUAAUCGGAUUUACUGGGCGUAAAGCGUGCGUAGGCGGCUUUUUAAGUCGGAUGUGAAAUCCCUGAGCUUAACUUAGGAAUUGCAUUCGAUACUGGGAAGCUAGCGUAUGGGAGAGGAUAGUAGAAUGCCAGGUGUGGCGGUGAAAUGCGUAGAAGUGUGGAGGAAUACCGAUGGCGAAGGCAGCCAUCUGGCCUAAUACUGGCGCUGAGGUACGAAAGCAUGGGGAGCAAACAGG
rnacentral:rRNA from 1 species